CUGAUUUGAGGUCAAAAAUAAAAAGGUUUGUAGUCCCUUUCAAAAUCUUAUUUUGAAAAAGGUUCCUUGAUUUUUGGGCCGAGCCAACACCAAGCCGAAAGGGCUUGAGAAGAAACGACGCUCAAACAGGCCUGCCUUGAGGAAUACCUAAAGGCGCAAUGUGCGUUCAAAAAUUCAAUGAUUCACGUCUGCAAGUCAUACUACGUAUCGCAUUUCGCUGCGUUCUUCAUCGAUGCGAGAACCAAGAGAUCCGUUGUUGAAAGUUUUGUUUUUUGUGUAAAAAACUUGAAGUUAAAAUUAAAAAAAAAGUUUAGUUUUGUGUAAUUUAGAAUAAAAUUCAAGUGUGAAAGAAUUAUUAUUGUUAAUGAUCCUUCCGCAGGUCACCUACGA
rnacentral:misc_RNA from 1 species